AAAAGUCGUAACAAGGUCUCCGUAGGUGAACCUGCGGAGGGAUCAUUAACAAAGCAAGGUGUUCAGGAAAGAGGCGACUGCGUAGCAGGAGCGUCUUUUCUGAAUUCCCAAACACAUGUUGCCACCGAUGGUUGGAUUUCAAUUGUUGGUGGCACACAUACAUUGACAUUUCUACAACAACCACUUCAACAAAAUACAAACAACUUUUAACAAUGGAUCUCUUGGCUCUUG
rnacentral:misc_RNA from 1 species